rnacentral:rRNA from 1 species
GAUGAACGCUGGCGGCGUGCCUAAUACAUGCAAGUCGAGCGAACAGACGAGGAGCUUGCUCCUCUGACGUUAGCGGCGGACGGGUGAGUAACACGUGGAUAACCUACCUAUAAGACUGGGAUAACUUCGGGAAACCGGAGCUAAUACCGGAUAAUAUAUUGAACCGCAUGGUUCAAUAGUGAAAGACGGUUUUGCUGUCACUUAUAGAUGGAUCCGCGCCGCAUUAGCUAGUUGGUAAGGUAACGGCUUACCAAGGCAACGAUGCGUAGCCGACCUGAGAGGGUGAUCGGCCACACUGGAACUGAGACACGGUCCAGACUCCUACGGGAGGCAGCAGUAGGGAAUCUUCCGCAAGGGGCGAAAGCCUGACGGAGAAGCGCCGCGUGAGUGAUGAAGGUCUUCGGAUCGUAAAACUCUGUUAUUAGGGAAGAACAAAUGUGUAAGUAACUAUGCACGUCUUGACGGUACCUAAUCAGAAAGCCACGGCUAACUACGUG